ensembl:lncRNA
UUUUUUUUUUUUUUUUUUUUUGAGACGGAGUCUCACUCUGUCACCCAGUGUGGAGUGCAGUGGCGCAAUCUCGGCUCACUGCAAGCUCUGCCUUCCAGGUUCAUGCCAUUCUCCUGCCUCAGCCUCCCGAGUAGCUGGGACUACAGGUGCCCGCCACCACACCUGGCUAAUUGGGUUUUUUUUGUAUUUUUUAGUAGAGACAGGGUUUCACCGUGUUAGCCAGUAAGGUCUCGAUCUCCCGACCUUGUGAUCUGCCCACCUCAGCCUCCCAAAGUGCUGGGAUUACAGGCGUGAGCCACCGCGCCCGGCCUCUAUAUUCUUAACCUCGUAGAUUAGUUUUGUUUAAGCCGUCGACAUAUUUCAUCAUCUCUAAUAUAUAGAAAUUAGUGUGUUUAUGUGGCUCAUUAAUCUUGGCUUCUUCCUCUAAGAAGGUGGAAGUUACUGGAAAUGAUGUUACACAAAGCGGGACCCCUCAGAGUCUGCAGAUGAGCCGAAGCAGGAGGAUGAUUAUCACUGAUUUCAUCUAGACGCCUCAAUGACAAUCGGGAAGAGGGUGAAUUGCAGUGACUAAUGUCCUGCGGUUUGCGGCGAUGCUGUUCCGCCGUUUACCAUUAGAGCGUAGCAGUGUUUGCCACUUUCCUAGCAUGUGACCAUUACCACAUGGAAAAAUAAAUACAGAUGUUUCAAUAUGAAUAGACAAUCGAUUAAUUCAUUAAAAUUGCACAUGUUAAAGAGUUUGUAAAUAACCCUGGGAGUGGGACAGGGUUGGGAGUGAGCACGUGUCUUCCCCCGUGAUUUCUCUGCUGGAGGAAUGCCCAGGUCUCCGGGCCUUGCGGAAUGUGCCUCUAUCCCUUGGGCCACGCAGCGGCACUCGCGGUGUGAUACGGUAAGAACAGCAUCUUCACCACAGCUCUUUGGGGACAGAGGCAGGGGACGGGGGGAACUUCCAGUGGGAAUACUGGUGUUACCAGAAACGUCACCAAAGCCCUCGGCCAGAGGCUGAGCUGCUCUGUUUGCUGCAGGGCUCUGGUUUUGCAGAGGAAGAGGGCUGUUGUCACUGGGAACCAAGAUGACGGGUUCCAACAGCAGAGGGGAACCAAGUACACCACGAUGGCCCUUGUGCUAGUUCCCUGGGGCUGCCCUAACAGGCAGCCACCGACUGGGGGACUUAAAAUACCAGUUGCUGAUUCUGCCAGUUCUGGGAGCCUGAGAUACAGGCGUCGGCAGGCUCGGUUCCCUCUGAGGGCGUGAGGGAGAAUGCAGCUCCCCCUCUGUUGCCACUCUCCUGGUGACGGUGGCAGUCCACGCCUUGGCCUAUGAGUGCACCGCUCCGUCCUCUGCCUGGCAGCAGCCUUCUCCUGGUGCCUCUCCACAUCAUUCCCUAUGCAUGUGGCGGUCUCUGCAUCCAAAUUUCCCUUUGAUAACAGCACCAGGAGAUCGACUUAGGGCUCACCCCAUGACCACAUCUUAGUUUUAUUACCCUUAUAAAGACCCUGUUUCCAAAUAAGGUCACAUGCAGAGGCACCUGGGGUUGGAGCUCCAGCAUAUCUUUUCUGAGGAACACAGUUUGACCUGUAACCAUUUUCCCACAGGCAGCCUCUCCUCUACUCAGAUGUGAACAAACACAUCAAUAAAAGCAGGCACGUCCCCCGGGAACUCACCAGGCUUGGCCUGGCUCUGAUCCCAGGAGAACUCAGUGUAACCCAAGGCCGGCCUUUCUGUGUGGCUUUGUCACCAUUCGGAA